AAGGAAUCUUGCACAAUGGGGGAAACCCUGAUGCAGCGACGCCGCGUGAACGAUGAAGCCCUUCGGGGUGUAAAGUUCUUUCGACAGGAACGAUAAUGACGGUACCUGGAGAAGAAGCUGCGGCUAACUACGUGCCAGCAGCCGCGGUAAUACGUAGGCAGCGAGCGUUGUUCGGAGUUACUGGGCGUAAAGAGUGCGUAGGCGGCGAGCCAAGUUUGGUGUGAAAUCUCCCGGCUUAACCGGGAGGGUGCGCCGAAAACUGGUUGGCUGGAGUAUGGGAGAGGAAAGCGGAAUUCCUGGUGUAGCGGUGAAAUGCGUAGAUAUCAGGAGGAACACCUGCGGUGUAGACAGCUUUCUGGACCAAAACUGACGCUGAGGCACGAAAGCGUGGGUAGCAAACA
rnacentral:rRNA from 1 species